UACAGAGGUCCCAAGCGUUGUUCGGAUUCAUUGGGCGUAAAGGGUGCGUAGGCGGCGCGGUAAGUCGGGUGUGAAAUCUCGGAGCUUAACUCCGAAACUGCAUUCGAUACUGCCGUGCUUGAGGACUGGAGAGGAGACUGGAAUUUACGGUGUAGCGGUGAAAUGCGUAGAUAUCUGGAGGAAUACCGGUGGCGAAGGCGGCAUCCUGGACCGGCAUUGACGCUGAGUGAGCGAAAGCCAGGGGAGCAAACGGG
rnacentral:rRNA from 1 species